CCGAAAUGUUGACCGCCUGCUUUUCUCCAGAGAGGGAGGGCAUUCUUCCAUACUGCGCAGGGUUGGUGCAGGAGUUACCUCUGCUGCCUCCUAAUUCAAAGACCCGGGUGACUGAUAUCAGGCUCACAGCAACAGCAGCAAAUCUUGAAAGUUUACUCCAUUCCAAAAUCAAAAAGAAUGGCCAUGAAAGACUCCAGACUGAAGUAAAAUGCCAAGGGGACGAUUAAUCCUGAACUGGCCUAUUCUGUGACCAACCUUGCAUUAUAUGGGUGAUUCUUAAUGCCCUUUGAAGUAGGCAAGAAUUUGCAGCCUUG